rnacentral:rRNA from 1 species
CCUACGGGCGGCAGCAGUGGGGAAUAUUGCACAAUGGGGGAAACCCUGAUGCAGCGACGCCGCGUGAGUGAAGAAGUAAUUCGUUAUGUAAAGCUCUAUCAGCAGGGAAGAAAAUGACGGUACCUGAGUAAGAAGCACCGGCUAACUACGUGCCAGCAGCCGCGGUAACACGUAGGGGGCAAGCGUUAUCCGGAUUUACUGGGUGUAAAGGGAGCGUAGACGGCAGUGCAAGUCCGACGUGAAAGGCGGGGGCUCAACCCCCGGACUGCUCUGGAAACUGUACGGCUGGAGUGCAGGAGAGGUAGGUGGAAUUCCUGGUGUAGCGGUGAAAUGCGUAGAUAUUAGAAAGAACACCAGUGGCGAAGGCGGCUUACUGGGCUAUAGCUGACGUUGAGGCUCGAAAGCGUGGGGAGCAAACAGGAUUAGAUACCCGAGUAGUC